ACUAUCACUUUUAUAAGCUUCUCUUUGGUUCUGGCGUUCACAUAAAUAAAGAGACAAACAUGUAUGAUUUAUAACUCCAAAUUAACCAACCCAACUGAUUCAGCAUGUUUAGUCCUUUAAUCUUUGUUCCUAGUACUACCUCCAUGAUCCCACACUCCUAAUCAUAUGAGCUAAAAUGUUACACAUUCAAUCUUUGAGAGAUAUAAAGAAAAAGACAUAUACAUAGAUAGAUUAUCUUUCCGUAAGGUUGAGCGAUCUGAUCUGAUAAAUGUUAUAAGUACUACACUCAUGAACUUAUCAUCCAUCAACUUUGUCUUGCUCACUAUGCUUAAGGUUAGAGAAGAACAAAUACACUUUUGGUUCUGUUGGUGUUUUCCACCAACAGGACCCAUGCACUUGAUCUCUGCCUUGUCUCUAUGAGCAGGUACACUUGAAGCAAACCAUGGUGGAGUUUUACAACUCCCAGACUCUACCAAGUGAAGGACCCGGAUCUACGAGCACAAACACACUGAGCAGGAUACUGCCAAUGCCGCACUUCGAACUACUGGGCAAACGAAGAACAUGGGUGACACCGUAUUAAGAGGUGCAGAUGUCAAGGUCCACACCUGAAUCAAAUGACGCACCUGAAGAAUGAACACGGUGAGAAGUCUUGUUCAGAAGACUUAAAACAUUAAACCAUCGCCGAAAGGUAAAAUCGAUAGUUAUCCAUAUUUAUCCUUUCUGCAUUCCCUUUUCCCUUUAAUUACUUACUUUCCUUAAAUAGCUUAUUAGUUAAUCAUGCUAUCUUGAAAAGAAUAUAAAAAUGUUAAAACUACUAAGCCCCAUGUGAGUAUGCUCGUGGCAUGAAACCCAUAAGUACAUUCACUGUGGUGGCGUAAAAAUAAAAUAAAUAUAUUCCUGUCCUAUAGAAAUGAAAAUAUAAAAAUAAAUUUAUGAUCCUACCAAAGAGAGUAAUAUUUAUUAGAGGAAGCUCAACAUGAUAAAGGCGAAGAGAUUUUAUGCUAACACUUAACCAGUUCCACAAAGCUUUGUUGUCUAUUUGAGCUCGACAGAAUUCAAGGAUCAAAGAAGACUAGCAGUCGGAGGACAUUCUAAUCGCUGUCAGGGUGCUGCCGACAUUCAAAUACACCUCCGCCACCUACUAGCUACAUCAGAAGAAAAUACGUCAAAAUCCAGCUUGGGAGAGAGCACCCCCAUUUAUCCAGCUAAGUGUUUCUACUCAUGUUUAUACUUUACUCAAAUAAUAAAAAGAUGCAUAAUCAUGAAAACCCAAAUAAAGAUUUUUGUGCUUAUAUGUAUAUCUUUGCUUAGUUUGCUAAAUAAAUAAAUAAAUGAAGUUUGCUAUGAACCCUCAUGAUAAGCUCUCACAUAAAAAUGAUGAAUAGUUGCUCUGCCAUUACUAGUUCUCAAAAUUGAAAUCUCUCUCAAGUUUAGGCAUGACUGUUAUGAAUUAAGAUUUGCUCUAAAACUGAACUUGUGGGAAGAGUACUUGAUCAAAAGUCUAUGUCGUUAACGGAUACGAUAUGGGAAGGUUGAGCUGCUAUUUAUCUGUUCCUAGAGAUGCUAGAAUUCUAGAGAAUUUUAUCUUUGAAAAUCUUUAAAAUAUUGCAUGAUGAGUUCCUGUAUGAUGAGUGUUUAAAAUCCUACCACAGCCAUAUAUACAUGCUUAUUAGACUAUGAACCAUACAUUUACUUUUUACUACUUAUGAGCAUUGAGUGUGGUGAAGUUGUGUAGACCCUUAGGAGCUUGUCAUGUGGUUAAAAUCAAGAUUCACUUGCACAUUCACUCAUACAUGCUGCUUCUACUUCAGAAGUACGCAUCUACAUACAUCCAUUCAUUUCCAUCUCCAGAUUCACCCAAAAUUAUUCAACUCCUAUUCAGGAGAGAAUAGCCAAAAACAUUAUCCUAUCCCUGUAAUUCCCCGUGAAAUAAAUGCUCUUGAUAUUUUGGUUACUACCAAUUGCUACAUUAUUCUAGGAGGGUGAGUGCUCUGAAAAAAAGUGAAUACGAGGAAAUAAAAAGGGACAAGUGCCCGAAACCUCGAAGAAAAGAAAAAGUGAGACGAGAGGUAAAAAUGGACAAGUGUCCGACAGUAGAAUUAGGGGUACAAGAUACCCACCUGAGAGAAAAGAAAAAAAGAGAAAAUAUAGAGCAUCUCAUUCCCCUAAAAAAAGCUUCAAAGUGCAAGAAAGGUAUGUAUCCCCUCAAAAGAGCAACAGUAGAAUUAGACUUUCACCAUUAUCACCAUCAUCACCAUACACCAUUCAUGCGCCACACAUGCACAUCUUGAUUUGACUUAUUGACUUGUUUCUUUGGAUCCAUGGUUUGACUAUGCAAUAAAUGACUUGUAAGUAUGUAUUAGCUGUCUCCCACCUAUGAGCUCCAGAUAUCAAAACCUUGUUAGAGUAGGGUGAGAGAGAGGGCAAUAUCAUUAUGCCUCAUACCACAAAUAACACAUACUUUGAGAGAAGGCAUAUAUCAUCACUGCGUUGGUAAGGAUCUAGAAAUACCACAAAAGAGAGACUAGAGAGAGUCAUACAAGGAAUCUCUGAGUUUUAUUUGAAAAUUUGCAAAAACUCCAGAGCUAUAGUUGAUGAAAGAACAAGAGACAUGGUGCUUGACUUGACCGUUCUAUCUUUUAACUGCUCAAGACACAAGUGACGGUUGCAAGCCCCAUGGUGGAAGGUAAUAUGAGUAAUUUUAAAUCUUAACAGUUUACCUUAACCCAGAGAUGAGAUUUUGUUUGAACGCAUGUGUACCUUUAAGGCAUAAAACCACUGAAGAAACUAUUGAGUCCAUCCUUGCUCAGGGACGAGCAAGAGGUAUGCUUGAGGGAGUUGUUGACGGUCCUUAAGUACUAAAUAUAACGAUCAAAUAAAUAAAGAAAAGGAUCCAAAUGCAACGAACACCCAGACUUAGGGUUUUAUCUGACAGAAUUCCAUGAGUUUUGGUGUUUGUCUAUUUCUGCAGGGGGUUAUCAGGAAAUAUGGAGGAAAGGCCCACAUGUCGGGUUUACAUAGAGAUAUGAACGUACCGUGCAAAUUUUUAUCAUCUAGAAGACUCUAGAAGCCACGGGAACGAACGGGAGGCCAAGCGGGCUCGGGGGUAGGGCGCCCGCCCUCCCCCCUUCGGCGCCCGCCCUAUCCCACAGUCCAAUCAGGACUCGCUUCGGGGAUUAUGCUCCACCGAGCUAAAGGAUCAAGAAUAACCGUUCAAUCAACGUCGGUUUGAUCCGACGGCCCAGAUUCACUUGAGGGGACUAUAUAAGCAGACCCCUAGCCUCUGGAGGAGGCACCCCUUGAUCCCUAUUCAUUAUUCAUAGAUAGAGCAAAAGCUAGGGUUUGGAGAUGAGAGCUCUCCUCUCAUCUCUAAACUAGAGUAGAUCUAGAUAGUAGCGAGACGGAGAGCGAGGGAGGAUUGGAGGAGAGGCCGGCCUGUCGAUUCUUCCUCCGGUUGUACUUCGCCAUGAUCAAGCUCUAAUCAAGCUUCCUCAUGGGAUGACUCUGGUAAUCUACUUCUAAUUCACUAUGCAAUUACUAUUCAUGUAUGUUCUGGUUCACAACUCUUUUGUGUACUUCUAAUCUCUAGGACCCUAUAGGUUAGAGUUGUAGUAUAGGUGUAAGCAUGGUGCUUAGACCUAGAUUACUUGUGAAUAUCCCCUGUCUAGCUGGAUCGUGUGGUAGGCCGCGUAGGUGACAGUUACGUUGGUCCCCUGUAGUAAACCUCCUGUUAGCAGGACAGGUAGGGUUUAUCGGCCUAUGGAUAAGCAUCCUUUGUGGUGUAUUCUUAUCACGUAGUUCAUCCCAGACAUAGACAUACCCCUUUGAAGUAGAAAAACCAUAGUUAUCAUCUCUAUUCUGCAACCAUCGCCCAUAUACUAGAAUGCUCUACUCUCUAUUCCCAUAUUAUCACCCAUUGUUAUCUUACCUUUAAUAUUGUUCUUAUUCAAUUCUACCAUCUUUCCUAUUUACACUUAUCUAUCUAUCUUGGUUAAGUUAGAGCGUAGUUGGUUCUCCCGUUUCCCUGUGGAUACGAUAAAACCUUUAACCGGGUAAAAGCUACAACGGUAUCCAUGCGCUUGCAGAUUUAUCUGUGUCCGUAUAAAUACCAUAGUACACUCUAGUGUCAUGCUGGGGAUGACAACCUAGUAUUCAAGUGGUGUUAGCAAGUGUCAACAGUCGUCGGAUGAUGAUCAAAGGGCUUAGGAUUGGGUGGAGAGGUAUUUCUAGUAUUUGACUUCUGGCUAAGCUAUCCUAAGUAUAUUUGAGAGUUAACUCCCUUCCUACUGUGGCCGAUAGGUGAAAAGGGUGUGGCGAAACACUUCCCUAGGCAGCUACCAUGCAAGCCAACUAUUAUUUGCAACUUGCCUAACAACACACUAAAGAGAACUCCUAAUGUCCAGUAGAGGAAUGUUAUGCUUCGCUGCUGGUGUUCUUCAGGUGCGACAAGAAGUCCACAAGGGCAGACAAAGUCUAGACACCAUGUCUACACUAAUUCUACUACUCUAGACCCAGCUAAGGUUUCGAGCACUUCACACAAGGCAAAGCAAUGUGCCAGAUAGGCCGGUUGUAUACUUAAAAUAAACUAAGAUAGAAAGUAAAUACUGGAAAUACUCAGAUGAAAGGAAACUAGAAGGAAGACUUACUAGAAGACAAGCAUCCGCUGAGGCACUCCUAGAAGAAGACUCCCGACAAGUCGGUGUUGACACUUGCUAACACCACUUGAAUACUAGGUUGUCAUCCCCAGCAUGGCACUAGAGUGUACUAUGGUAUUUAUACGCACACAGAUAAUCCGCAAGCGCACGGAUACCGUUGAAGCUUUUACCCGGUUAAAGGUUUUAUCGUAUCCACAAGGAAACGGGAGAACCAACUACGCUCUAACUUAACCUAGAUAGAUAGAUAGGUGUAAAUAGGAAAGAUGGUAGAAUCGAAUAAGAACAAUAUUAAAGGUAAGAUAACAGUGAGUGAUAAUAUGGGAAUAGAGAAUAGAGCAAUUCUAGUAUAUGGGCGAUGGUAGCAGAAUAGAGAGAAUAACUAAGGUUUCUCUACUUCAAAGGGGUAUGUCUAUGUCUGGGACGAACCACGUGAUAAGAGUACACCACAAAGGAUGCUUAUCCUUAGGCUGAUAAACCCUACCCAUGCUGCUAACAAGAGGUGGACUACAGAGGACCAACGUAACCGUCACCUACGCGGCCUACCACACGAUCCAGCUAGAUAGGGGAUAUCCACAAGUAAUCUAGGUCUAAGUGCCACGCUUACACCUAUACUACAACUCUCACCUAUAGCGUCCUAUAGAUUAAAGUACUCAAAAGAGUUGUGAACCAGAACAUACAUAAUUAAUAAUUGCAUAAUGAAUUAGAAGUAGAUUACCAGAGUCAUCCCAUGAGCAAGCUUGAUUAGAGCUUGAUAAUGACGAAGUACAACCGGAGGAAGAACCGACAGGCCGGCCUCUCCUCUAAUCCUCCUUCGUUCUCCAUCUUGCUAUUAUCUAGAUCUACUCUAGUUUAGAGAAGAGAGGAGAGCUCUCCUCACUAAACCCUAGCUUUUGCUCUGUCUAUGAAUAAUGAAUAAUGAUCAAGGGGUGCGUCCUCUAGGGGCCAGGGUGUCUGGUUAUAUAGUCUUUUCAGAUGAAUCUGGGUCGUCGGAUCAAACCGACAUUGAUCGUGUGGUUUUCCUUGAAGUAUUAGGUCGGUGGAGCAUGAUCCACGAAGUUGAAGCUGAUUGGUUACUGUAGCUGGGCGGGCACCCAUGGGACUUGGGCGGGCGCCCUGCCCCCGGGCCCGAUCGGCCUCCCGUUCGUUCCCGUGGCUUCUGGAGUCUUCUAGAUGGUAGAAAAUUGCGCGGCACGUUAAUAUCUCUAUGUAAACCCGAUGUGUGGGUCUUUCUUUCAUAUUUCCUGAUAACCCCCUACAGAAAUAGACAAACACCAAAACUCGUGGAAUUCUGUCAGAUAAAACCCUAAGUCUAGAUGUUGAUUUCAUUUGGAUCCUUUUCUUUGUUUAUUUGAUAAUUAAAUUUGAUACUUAAGGACCGUCAACAAACUCCCCCAAGCUUACCUCUUGCUCGUCCAUGAGCAAGGAUAGACUCAGCAAUGGAUCAGAAGUUGUUGCAAUAUCUUAAAAUUUUGAUGGUACACAUGCUUUUAAAUAAGAUCUCAUCUCUGAGUUAGAGUAAACUGUCAAGAACUAAAACUUACUUACUUUACCUUUCACCAUGGGACUUGUAACCAUCACUUCUGUCUUGAGUAGUUAAAAGAUAGAACAGUCUAGCCAAGUGCCAUAUCUCUUAUUCUUGAUCAGCUAUAGCUCUGGAGUUUUUGCAGAUUUUCAAAUAAAACUCAGAGAUUCCUUGUAUGACUCUCUAAAUCUCUCUUUUGUGGUAUUUCUGGAUCCUUACCAAGGCAGCGAUGGUAUAUGCCUUCUCUCAAGAUAUGUGGUAGUUGUGGUAUAAGGCAUAGUGACAUUUCCUUCUCUCUCACCCUACUCUAAUAAGGCUUUAAUAUCUGGAGCUCAUAGGUGGGAGAUAAAGUAUACAUACUUACAAGACAUUUAUUGUAUAGUUAAACCAUGGAUCCAAAGAAACAAAUCAAUAAGCCAAAUCAAGAUGUGCAUGUGUGGCGAAUGAAUGGUGUAUGGUGAUGAUGGUGAUAACAAUGGUGAAAGUCUAAUUCUACUUUUGCUCUUUUGAGGGGAUAUAUACCUUCUUUGCUUUUUGAAACUUUAUGAGGAGAAUGAGAUGUUCUAUCUUCCAUUUUUCUUUCCUCUCAGGUGCGUAUCCUGUACCCCUAAUUCUACUGUCGGACACUUGUCCAUUUUUACCUCUCGUCUCACUCUUUUUCUUUUCUUUCGAGGUUCCGGGCACUUGCCCCUUUUUAUUUCCUCGUUUAUUUAUUUUUUUUUCUUUUCUUCUCUUUUCUUUUUUUUCAGAGCACUCAUCUCUUGAGAUAAUAUAGCAAGUGGUAGUAGCAAGAUAACUUGAGCAUUUAUUUCACAAGGGAAAACAGAAAUAUUUUUGGCUAUUCUCUCCCGGAUUAGGAGUAGAAUAUUUUUGGGUGGUUCUGGAGAUGGACAUGGAUGGAUAUAUGUGGAUGGUACUUUCAGAGUAGAAGUAGCAUAUAUGAGUGAAUGUGCAAGUGAAAUCUUGAUUUAACCACAUGACAUGCUCCUAAGGGUCUACACAGCUUGACCACACUCAAUGCUCAUAAGCAGUAAAUAGUAAAUGUGUGGCUCAAAGUCUAGCAAGCAUGUAUAUAUGGCUGUGGUAGGAAUUUAAACUUUCAUCAUACCGGAACUCAUCAUGCAAUAUUUUAAUGAUUUUUCAAAGAUAAAAUUCUCCAGAAUUUUAGCAUAUCUAGGAACAGAUAAACAGCAGCUCAACCUUCCCAUAUCAUAUCCGUUAACAACUUAGAUUUCAGAUCAAGUUUUUAUCCCACAAGUUUAGAUCUAGAGCAAGCUUUAAAUUAUAACAGUUAUGUCUAAACUUGAGAGAGAACUUCAAAUUUACAAAUUAGGCAGAGCAACUAUUCAUCAUAUCCAUGCUAGAGUUUUAUUAUUAAGAUUCAGAUUAGCAUAGCCACUUUAUUUAUUUAUUAAACACACUAAGCAAAAGAUAUAUAUAAGCACAAAAUCUUUAUUUGGUUUUUCAUAGUUUAUGUAUUUUAAUAUUCUAAUAUAAUAUAAGUAUAAAGAUAGUUAGAAAUACUUAGCGAGAUAAAUGGGGGUGCUCUUCCCCAAGCUGAAUUUUGACGUAAUUUCUCUUGAUGUAGCUAGCAGGUGGCAGAGGUGUAUUUGAAAGUCAGUAGCAUUCUGACAGCGAUUAGAAUGUCCUCCGUCUGCUAGUCUUCUUGAUUCUUAAAUUCUGUGGAGCUCAAAUAGACAACAAAGCUUGUGGAACUAAUUAAGUGUUAGCAUAAAUAUCUAGCCUUCAUCAUGUUGAGCUUCGUCAAUAAAUAUUACUCCCUGUUUUUAUAUUUUUAUUUUAUAAAGCAGAAAAGAAAUAUUUAUUUUAUUUUUAUGCCACCACAGUGAAGGUACUUAUGGGUUUUAUGCCACUCGUAUACUCACAUGGGGCUUAGUAUUUUUUAAUAUUUUUAUUUUCUUUUCAAGAUAGCAUGAUUAACUAAUAAUCUAUUUAAGGAAAGUAAAUAAUUAAAGGGAAAAGGGAAUGCAGAAAGGAUAAAUAUGGAUAACUACCGAUCUUACCUUUCGGCGAGGGUUCAAUGUUUUAAGUCUUCUUAACAAGACUUCUCACCGUGUUCAUUCUUCAGGUGCGUCAUUUGAUUCAGGUGCGGACCUUGACGUCUGCACCUCUUCGUUUGCCCAGCAGUGGCGUUGGCAGUAUCCUGCUCAGUGUGUUUGUGCUCGUAGAUCCAGGUCCUUCACUUGGUAGAGUUUGAGAGUUACAAAACUUCUCUGUGUUUUGUUCAAAGUAUACCUGCUCAUAGAGACAAGGCAGAGAUCAUGUGCAUGGGUCCUGUUGGUGGAAAACACCAACAGAACCUAAAGUGUAUUUGUUCUUCUCUAACCCUAAGCAUAGUGAGCAAGACAAAGUUGAUGGAUGAAAAGUUCAUGAGUGUAGCACUUAUAACAUUUGUCAGAUCAGAUCGCUCAACCUUAUGGAAAGAUAAUCUAUCUAUGUAUAAUGCUUUUUCUUUAUAUCUUCUCAAAGAUUGAAUGUAUAACAUUUUAGCUCAUAUGAUUAGGAGUGUGGGAUCAUGGAGGUAGUACUAAGAACAAGGAUUAAAGGACUAAACAUGUUGAAUCAGUUGGGUUGGUUAAUAUAGAGUUGUAAAUCAUACAUGUUUGUCUCUUUUAUUUAUAUGAACGCUAGAACCAAGGAGAAGCUUAUAAAAGUGAUAGUCAAGUACCUUAAGAUGUUACCUUGCUUGAAGAGUGAUGGUACAAUAUCACCUUGUGGAAGCUUUCCUUUCUUAGCGGUUGUGCAUCGUGUUUGUGGCACCCUCCGUGGAUCAUCUCUCUAUGAUGAAUGAGCUAUGUCCUUCUUGUGCAAAUUGUUAAACUUCAUGUGUCACUCUCUUCGUCUCUGAUGUGAGUUUAUCUCAGGACUUCCCAAAUCGAUAUUGAAAGUUUUUCUGCAGGGGUUAGUCCGACAAAAAUAUACCAAUGUCUACACAAGCAGUUUUUAGUUCAAUAACCGAACUAGACUCCAUGUCUAAUCAGAUUAAGGAAGGCUGUUUAACUUAAGCACCAUGCUUAAUUUAAAAGCCAAUAGAAGUAUGUGUAGUACUUCCAAACUAACACUUACUAGGAUAAACAAAGGUAGCGUGAUGGCAUUUAUAGAGAUCUACUCGAGUGGAGACGAAGUAGUGUGAUUAGUAUUUAACAAAUUGAGCAUGUCUUAAAGGUAGGGACAACCAACAUAGCAACAUGGCAAAGAAUGUUUUUAUGUAAAGUACUCCCCUAAGCUUGAUUUUUGCAGAAUUCAAGUUUGGAUGAAUUUAAUUCAGUGUUGCAUGAUGAUUGGUUGGACAUACCUUGUACUUGCUUGUCAUUCAUCUGAUCUUCUUGUUCCAAUCCUGAAAAGGUUAGUGACAAGAAUACCUGAAGGAAUAUUUUUACAAUUAUCCUUAUAUGCUCAAUACACAAGGUAAUGUUGCAAAUAAUUAAAAACUCAUGUUACGAUCUGAUCAGUGCUUAUUUUAGGACACUGAGCUUGUCCUUGGGAAACCAUCAAUUUAUGUCGGCGAAGUGGUUUCCCUUCCAACGCUGACCUAAAUCAAGAUCAACUCAACGCGAUCUGCAAUAUUUAUUAUAGACAUAUGCAUCGACAACCACCCUUUUAAAGUUUUUAUAAAUAGAAAGGAAGAGGGGGUUGGAGAUCUCAAAUGUGGUGAUGUUAGAGAGACCAAUAGAUUGGGAAGAUGUUACAUAUGAGCAUGGAGUAAACAAAGUGGCUAUGAAAUAAAUUCCAUGCUCAUUAAUGUUAUCUUCGUCUCCAAUCUGAAUGUUCAGAGUUCCUCUUGGAUUGGUCUAACUUAUGUCCUCUUCUAUAGUUGGAUGAAUCCCAUCUUCAAAGGGAGUCAAGAACUCACCAUUUGAAAUUGAACCAAAGUCAGAAUUCAUUAAGGCUUCUUCCUUAUCCAUCCAUUCUACACAUUCUAGCCAUUUAGAACUUGUGAUCAGGAAAGGGGAGGUGUUAGAAUUUUCUAUAUGGCUUAGCUCUCCUUCACUUGAUAUGUCAUCCUUGACUUCUUCAUAACAGGAACCAGGACAUUCUCUAAGGAUAUGUCAUCCUCGACUUCUUCAUAACAGGAACCAGGAUAUUCUCUAAGAGAACCAUUAUUGCAAGGAUUUGAAUUAUCCCUACUUGAAGGUCUCUUAUGGAACCAGAAGUCUAAACCAUCAGCAUCUGAAAGAUUUAAGGUCGGAAUUCCUUCCUCCCUUCGACAAUUUUGGGGUAUUGAUGGUUUAGGAUUGAUAGCUAAAGUUUGGAAUUGAAGUGGUUGUGAUCUGGCUAUCGAAACUUCUUCUUCUUGUCUAGGAACUGGUUCUGUCUCUUUCUCAGGGAUAUAAAAGCUAGGAGACUUUCCACUUAAUAAAUCAAUCAAAUUCCAAGCUUCACUAGCAGGUAGGUGAUAGAAGGAUCCUCUAGAGGCUGUAUUCAAGGUUUGCUUAUCUUCCCUACUAAGGCCCUCAAAAAAGUGAAUUAGAAGAACUUCUUCUGGAAUAGAAAGCUUUGGGCCAGUGAGAGUAAGGUUAAUAAAGCGGUCCCAUGAUUUGCCAAGAGAUUCUUCUUCCAGUUGUCUAAAAGAAAUAAUCUCACGCCGAAGUUCCGCCACUUUGGAGAUUGGAAAAUACUUAGAAAUAAAACUACUAUAUAACUCCUUCCAAUCUCCAUGAACACUCCCUAUUUUGAGUUUGUACCAAUGUCUAGCUUUUCCCGUUAAAGAGAACGGAAAGAGCUUCCAUUUGAGGGUCUCAUCGGACAUUCCUUCUAUGCGAAGGAGGUCACAGACUCGAUAAAACUCUCUUAGGUGUGUCUAUGGGUUUAGACAGAGCAAAAGCUAGGGUUUAGAGAUGAGAGCUCUCCUCUCUUCUCUAAACUAGAGUAGAUCUAGAUAGUAGCGAGAUGGAGAGCGAGGGAGGAUGGGAGGAGAGGCCGGCCUGUCGGUUCUUCCUCCAGUUGUACUUCGCCAUGAUCAAGCUCUAAUCAAGCUUGCUCAUGGGAUGACUCUGGUAAUCUAAUUCUAAUUCAUUAUACAAUUACUAAUCCUGUAUGUUCUGGUUCACAAUUCUUUUGAGUACUUUAAUCUAUAGGACGCUAUAGGUGAGAGUUGUAGUAUAGGUGUAAGCGUGGUGCUUAGACCUAGAUUACUUGUGGAUAUCCCCUCUCUAGCUAGAUCUUGUGGUAGGCCGCGUAGGUGACAGUUACGUUGGUCCCCUGUAGUCCACCUCUUGUUAGUAGGACGGGUAGGGUUUAUCGGCCUAUGGAUAAGCAUCCUUUGUGGUGUAUUCUUAUCACGUGGUUCAUCCCAGACAUAGACAUACCUUUUUGAAGUAGACAAACCAUAGUUAUCCUCUCUAUUCUCCUACCAUCGCUCGUAUACUAGAUUGCUCAAUUCUCUAUUCCCCUAUUAUUACACAUUGUUAUCUUAUCUUUAAUAUUGCUCUUAUUCAAUUCUACCAUCUUUCCUAUUUACACUUAUCUAUCUAUCUUGGUUAAGUUAGAGCAUAGUUGGUUCACCAGUUUCCUUGUGGAUACGAUAAAACCUUUAACCGGGAAAAAGCUACAAUGGUAUCCGUGCGCUUGCGAAUUUAUCUGUGUGCAUAUAAAUACCAUAGUACACUCUAGUGCCAUGUUGGGGAUGACAACCUAGUAUUCAAGUGGUGUUAGCAAGUGUCAACAAGCAUUUUUGGCACCGUUGCCGGGGAGACGGUUGCUGAGUUGACUACGAACUAGCUUAAUCAUUUUAUAAAAAAAUAAUAAAAAAAUAUAUAUUUUCCUUUUAUCCUUUGCCUCAUCUCUGCUAUUCUUUCUUCUUAUCUAAUCCUUGAUUUCUGGUCUAUCAUGAAUGCAAACAUGUCUAUCUAUGAAUUUCAUAGACCUACGGGCACACAUCUCGAACCACCAAAAUCUUCAAAGCCUAUCAUAGCAUCUAGUUUUGAGAUAGACCCCGAAUACAUAGAAUUUGUUCAAAAACAACCUUUCUCAGGAGAAGGUGAGGAAAACCCAUACACACACCUAAGAGAGUUUUAUAGAGUCUGUGACCUGCUUCGCAUAGAAGGCAUGUCCGAUGAGACCCUUAAAUGGAAGCUCUUUCCGUUCUCUUUAAUAGGAAAAGCUAGACAUUGGUAUAAACUCAAAGUAGGGAGUGUUCAUGGAGAUUGGAAGGAGUUACAUAAUAGUUUUCUUUUAAAAUAUUUUCCAAUCUCUAAAGUGGUGGAACUUCGGCGUGAGAUUAUUUCUUUUAGACAACUGGAAGAAGAAUCUCUUGGCAAAUCAUGGGACCGCUUUGUUAACCUUACUCUCACAGGCCCAAAGCUUUCUAUUCCACAAGAAGUUCUUCUAAUUAACUUUUUUGAGGGCCUUAGUAUGGAAAAUAAGCAAACAUUGAAUACAGCCUUCGGAGGAUCUUUCCACCACCCAUCCGCUAGUGAAGCUUGGAAUUUGAUUGAUUUAAUGAGCGGAAAGUCUCCUAGCUUUUUUAUCCUUGAGAAAGAGAAAGAACCAGUUCCUAGAAAAGAAACAGAAGUUUCAAUAGCCAGAUCACAACCACUUCAAUUCCAAACUUUAGCUAUCGAUCCUAAACCAUCAAUACCCCAAAAUUCUCCAAGGGAGGAAGGAAUUCCGACCUUAAAUCUUUCAGAUACUGAGGGUUUAGACUUCUGGUUCCAUAAGAGACCUUCAAGCAGGGAUAAUUCAAAUCCUUGCAAUAAUGUUCCUCUUAGAGAAUGUCAUGGUUCCUUUUAUGAAGAAGUCGAGGAUGACAUAUCAAGUGAAGGAGAGCUAAGCCAUAUAGAAAAUUCUAUCAGCUCCCCUUUCCUGAUCACAAGUACCAAAUGGCUAGAAUGUGUAGAAUGGAUGGAUAAGGAAGAAGCCUUAAUGGAUUCUGAGUUUGGCUCAAUUUCAAAUGGUGAGUUCUUGACUCCCUUUGAAGAUGAGAUUCAUCCAACUACAGAAGAGGACAUAGGUGAGACCAAUCCAGGAGAAACUCCGAACAUUCAGAUUGGAGACGAAGAUAACAUUAAUGAGCAUGAAAUUUAUUUCAUAGCCACUUUUUUUACUCCAUGCUCAUAUGUAACAUCUUCCCAAUCUAUUGGUCUCUCCAACAUCACCACAUUUGAGAUCUCCGACCCCCUCUUCCUUUCUAUUUAUUAAAACUUUAAAGGGCGGUUGUCGAUGCAUAUGUCUUUAAUAAGUAUUGCAGAUCUCGUUGAGUUGAUCUUGAUAUAGGUCAGCGAUGGAAGGGAAACAUUUGCCGACAUAAAUUGAUGGUUUCCCAAGGACAAGGUGUUGGGUAUUCUUAACAUCACUACCAAAAGUAGACAGCUUUCUAAUUCUAGUAACGGUGCCAAAAAUGCCAAACCUAUCCCUCAUACCACUUAAGCCAAGUUAUGAUCCCCAGCAUGACAUGAGAGACGCGGUAUUGAAAUAUGCAAUUGCUCUUCUAAAUAUAUAAUGAAUGGAGUCUGCAAGCGCACAGAUUAAUACCGAUGUAGCAUUUUAACCGGGAAGUAUUCCAGGUAUCGUUAUUUAUAUUUUUACCACUGGGAAGGGAUUAACAAUCAUCAAUAUUGAUUACAGAAUAGAAUAUGAGAUUGAGUAUCUAUCAUUGCAUGUAUAAUUGAGAACAUUGUAUCUAAUUCUUUCAUAUAGGGGUAAGUGUCACAUAAAAGAUAUAUGAAAUAAUGAAUAGUGACAAAGGUAAUUAGUCUGAUCAUAACUUCGCCACAUAUAUAUAUGAUAAGCACCUCAAUUAGAUACUCUAGAAAGUCAUUAGCAUGGUAUUAGAACGAACUACAAGAAUAUUUCCUAAGUUAUUCUCAACUAUAUAGUCUAGCAUUAUCAUAGUUAGUGCAAGCAUACUUAGCAAUCAUUGUGAGACAAGACUACGCCCAUGCAUAGUGAUAUUAGCAAGGUAAAUGAGAAACAUAGCAAUCACUCCCCUGUAAUAAUGUUGCUCUGCUAGCCCGAUACACGAGAGGGGGACUAUAUAAGAAUCAAUGAAGCUGUCACUAUCACGAACUACCCCACGAUCUGGCAUAUUGGGUACAAUCACAGAUAAAUACGGUAUAAGCACCACGCCUACACAAUAUCUAUCAUUUACCCAUGGAUCUGAUGGAUAAACGCUAUACAAUCCUAAACAUGUAUAUAGAUCCAAUCUGUCGAGGGUAUCAGUAAGGGGUACCCUCACCGAUGCACAUAACGAGACUACCCGUACGCAGGUCGAGGCCCUCAACUCGAUGCCCUGGUCAUACAUAUGCGCGGUCGUCGACGACCGCAGCCUCGAAGACGGAAAUAGCGUCGAGCGAAUCGAUCAGGGUCGAGCGCCAGCUACCGUCGAAUACGGAAACGGGCUCGCACGAACCAGGAGGCGUCGAGCGCAAGGACGCCGCCCGCCGCCUGACGCGUGCACGAGAGCCAGGGCAUUUAAUGCGCCUGUCGCUUUCCCACCUAAUACGCUGGUCACGGGAAGCGUGAUAGGGAACAGGCACCCGUCCCGUCGUUCUUUUUGCAGCCUUCUCCACCAAACGACCCACAGCAUGUCAGGACGCGGGAAGCAGGGAUGGAACGUCUAAUGAGGACCCCCUCGAGGUAGCCAAGGUCAGCGCUCUGGAUAUCAGGGCAUUGCACGGCAUCCGACCCUCGAUCAGACAUGGUUCCUUCUUGGAGACGAGGUGGGCGUCGACUGACAACAUCGCAACCACUCCGCCGGAUCUGCCGCCAUACCGUACAAGCGUGCGACCGGUGAACCAGCCCAAGACGGCGCGCAGAGCAGGAUACAGGGGCACGCGUAAUCGUCAUCGAGCUACCAAGAUGGGAUGGCUCGAGACCACGCCAGUACGGAGGCCUCGAGUAGGUCAGCGCGCCAUGCUUCUAUCGACCCCUACUCUGACACCUAUACAUGUACCCUAGGUCUCUCCUUGGAGCUAUAAAAGGAAGGACCCGCGAGUAGAUAGACACACGCAACACUACACCCAUACGCAGUAGAACUCCCAUACUCCAUACCACGCUUGUAUUCGCCCCUGUACAAGCACUUAGGUGCAAGAUAAUACAAACUUCCCUCCCCCGCUGAACGUAGGGCCUUCUCUUGCCCGAACCAGGAUAAAUCUUUGUGUCUUCUUGCAUCACCAUCUGGGAAAGGGAGCACGCAUACAAAUUUACUCGUUGGUGUGACCCCCGUGGCGAAAACACCGACAGUUGGCGUGCCAGGUAGGGGUCCUGCGUGUUUUUUCAUCGAUUUCCCAUUCCUUUCCAGAUGGCCACUCUCGCCUCGCCGAUUCCGCGCUCCACGGUGAUUUGGUUUGGGAGUCUCGAGUUCAUGUCUACUGGCUCCGGCUAUGACAUGAUCUUGCUCUCGAUCAAAGGACCGGGAGGAGCUCGCGUUGCGCCAGCACGGUUGAGGGCCCCGAGAUGCCCUCGCCACCACGCCUCCCCGCCCAAGAAGAGGCGUGGACAGCACCAUCGUCGCCCCUCUGCCUCGUCACGACCUGCAGUUUGUGCUAGGCAGGAGGUGACACAGGAGCCGGCAGCCCCGCGUGCCGGAGCCAUGGACGUGCCGGCUCAGUGUCACAUGACGACAAGAGGAGACGCACCUACCGCCAGGCUACUUCCACACGGGUUGUUCACUCCAAGAAGGGCACUGCCAUUCGGAUUGGACAACGUCGCGGCAUCGCUAGCCAGAGCGAUAUGCCCAAACGCCCAGACGUACGUGGAGAGACCAAUGGUCCUCCCAUGUAACUCUAAAGCACAACAACCGACGUCCGAAUUGCCAGAUUUCUCCUAGGUACGAGGCCUCCGUCGCCUAGGCCCUGGACGGUACACGAUCACCUCACUCAGGCAGCGGCUGCUGGAGGAGAGACGUGGAUGUUUCUAUGCCGCCAAGCCGGACUCCGAUUCCAAGACCGAUAGCUACGACCCUACUAGGGACUGCUAUCACAUCGACGGAGCGGUAGAAACUACCGACGAGACGCAGGAUGCAGCUGCGGGCGGUCGAGCCCCUGCGGCAAGGGAAGACCCCAGGACGCCUGGGAACGACGGACAGGUCGACCCGCUUCCACAGGAAGACAGGGCUGCGCAGCUCGCGCAGCUACGAGAGCUCAAGACCAAGCUUGACGAGGAUCGUGAGCGCCUCGUCUUGCUCGAGCAAAUCCUCGAGCAAGACUUGCCUUACCCGCCUAGCGGGAGUGUCCGUAGGCGUGCUCGAGAGGUACACCGGCAAAUCAUCGGAGACGCGGAGCCAGAGCAACCCGUCAACCGCUUCCCUCGAGCAGGCCAGAAUGUAGUGGCAGCAACAAUGCUGCUACGCAACAUGCCAGAGUCAUCGAACUCCCAAGCUCGACGCAUUCGAGACGAGGUGCAGACUUUGCUCCAGGUAGUGGCGGUUCAACAAGCCGAAAGCUCGGCUUCUCUAUGACGAGGAGCCGCCACUGAAAAGCGCGAUGAGCCACCCCAAAAUGAAAAGGAGGUUUCAGUCCAUCAACAGCCACCCCCUCGAGGAAGAAAGACCACUCUUGUCCUCCCUGUCGACAAUCAGCGUCGACACAACGCGUGGCAUGACAUCGAAGAGAGUCGACGCCGUCGGUAUGGGGACGCGGAAGAGCGUGGUUACAGCGCACAUCGCGGUGGGAGGUAUGACAGCGACGAGGACCGGAUGGCCCCCGAACCACCAGGCCCACGGGUGUUCAGCAGGGCAAUCCGCAGCACGCCUACCAGCAUCGCAAAAUACAAUGGUGAGACCAAACCAGAGUUGUGGCUGGCCAAUUUUAGGCUGGCCUGUCAGCUAGGAGGCGCUCGAGGAGAUGAUCGAGCUAUCAUCAGACAGCUACCGCUCUUCCUCUCCGACACCGCCCGUCGAUGGCUCGAGGAACUUCUAGCUAAUCAGAUCCAUGACUGGGUCGAUUUGGUUAGAGUCUUCGAGGGUAAUUUCAAAGGGACCUACAUACGGCCCGGGAACUCGUGGGACCUCAGCAAAUGCAAGUAGAAGUCAGGAGAAACUCUUCGAGAGUACGCUUGACGCUUCUCAAAACAGCGCACCGAGCUGCCACAUAUCCCCGACCACGACGUCAUCCUGGCAUUUGUCUCUGAUACCACUAGUCGAGACUUGGUGCGGGAAUUAGGUCAAAAUGGACCUCAGACCAUCGAUGAGCUCAUGGACGUAGUGGCAAACUACGCAGCAGGAGAGGAAGCAGUCGGUGCCUUCUUUAGUUGUGAAGGAAGGAAAGGCAAGCAGCCUGCCGAUGAAGAUGGGACCCCCAGUCGAGGGCUCAAGAAGAACAAGAAGAAGCAGAAAGUGCGGCAGUUCAAGUAGGAGAACUUCGACGACGACCUCGUCGCCGCCAUGGAGCGGAAGAAACCUCGAGGCCCCCCAGAUGGGGGUAUCUUCGAUAAGAUGCUAGAGGAACCAUGCCCUUACCAUAAAGGAGGAGCCAACCACAAGCUCAAGGACUGUCGUAUGCUGAAAAAGCAUUUCGACGGCCUAGGGUUCAGAAAGGACGCGCGCGACGACCCAAAGAAGGAGAAGGCGGCGACAAGGAGGGCAACAAGGAUGACGAUGGUUUCCCUGCCGUCCACAACUGCUACAUGAUCUAUGGUGGGCCCUCAACGCAGUUGACUGAUAGGCAGCGCAAGAGGGAACGCCGUGAGGUCUUCGCCGCAAGAAUGGCGGUGCCCCAGUACCUCAGCUGGUCGAGCACACCCAUCACCUUCGACCGAGAGGAUCACCCCGACAAGGUGGUUGCCCCAGGCGUCUACCCGCUCGUCGUCGACCCCAUCAUUGUCAAUACCCGGCUCUCGAAGGUGCUAAUGGACGGAUGCAGCAGCCUCAACAUCAUCUAUCUCGAGACCCUCGACCUCCUCGGCAUCGACAGGGGACGGCUCAAACCAAGCGCUGGCGGUUUCCAUGGCGUCGUGCCAGGGAAAAAGGCGCUGCCAGUGGGUCGAAUCGACCUACCCGUCUGCUUUGGCACGGCAGCCAACUUCAGGAAGGAGACGCUCACCUUUGAAGUGGUCGGGUUCCGAGGCACGUAUCACGCCAUCAUCGGGCGCCCGGGCUACGCCAAGUUCAUGGCCAUACCCAACUACACUUACUUGAAGCUGAAAAUGCCCGGUCCCAAAGGAGUCAUCACCGUCAGCUCCUCCUUCGAGCACGCUUACGAGUGCGACGUCGAGUGCGUCGAGUAUGGGGAGGCGGUUGAAAACUCCACCCAGCUCGUCGCAAAGCUCAAGGCCCUGGCCGCUGAGGCUCCAGAGCCCAAACGCCACGCGGGCAGCUUCGAGCCAGCAGAGGGGACCAAGAAGAUCCCGCUCGAUCCUAACAACUCCGACGGCAAGGUGCUGACGAUCAGCGCCGACCUCGACCCCAAAUAGGAAGCUGUGCUUGUCGACUUUCUCCGUGCGAACGCCGACAUGUUCGCAUGGAGUCCCUCGGACAUGCCAGGCAUACCGAGGGAAGUCGCCGAGCACUCCUUGGAGAUUCGAGCCGGUUCCAAGCCAGUGAAGCAACGGUUGCGCCGAUUCGACGAGGAGAAGCGCAUGAUCAUUGGCGAGGAGGUCCACAAGCUUUUGACGGCCGGAUUCAUCAAGGAGGUUCACCAUCCCGACUGGUUAGCAAACCCUGUACUAGUUAAGCAAAAGAAUGGGAAAAUGAGGAUGUGUGUCGAUUAUACGAGUUUAAAUAAAGCAUGUCCGAAAGUUCCCUUUCCAUUACCAUGUAUUGAUCAAAUUGUUGAUUAUACUGCGGGAUGUGAAACCCUUUCUUUUCUUGAUGCAUUUUCUGGUUACCAUCAAAUAAAAAUGAAAGAGUCCGACCAGCUCGCGACCUCUUUCAAGACACCUUUUGGGAUGUAUUGCUAUGUAACCAUGCCGUUUGGGCUUCGAAAUGCGGGAGCCACGUACCAACGCUGCAUGCUUCACGUAUUUGGCAAGCACAUAGGGUCGACGUUCGAGGCCUAUGUCGACGACAUUGUCGUCAAAUCAAAGCGGCGAGGAGACUUGAUCCAGGACCUUGAGAUCGCUUUUAGCUGCUUACGCGUCAACCAGAUCAAGCUCAAUCCCGAGAAAUGCGUUUUCGGCGUGCCUCGAGGCAUGCUCUUGGGUUACAUUGUUUCCCAGCGGCAUCGAGGCCAACCCCGAGAAAGUCUCGGCCAUCACAAGAAUGGGGCCAAUCCGAGACAUCAAGGGUGUGCAGAGAGUCACGGGAUGCCUAGCGGCGCUGAGCCGUUUCAUCUCGAGAUUAGGAGAAAAGGCGUUACCACUGUAUCGACUUCUAAAGAAGGUCGAGCGUUUUUCUUGGACCCCCGAGGCUGAGGAAGCCCUCGAAAAUCUGAAGAGAACGCUGACCUCAGCACCAGUCCUGGUCUCACCUCAACCUGCGGAACCACUGCUCCUUUACGUCGCCUCGACGACCCAGGUUGUCAGUGCGGCGGUGGUGGUCGAAAGGCAGGAGGAGGGGCACGCAUUGCCAGUCCAGGGGCCAGUAUAUUUCGUCAGCGAGGUGCUCUCGGAGACCAAGGCACGUUACCCCCAAAUUCAGAAGCUGAUCUACACCGUAAUCCUCGCCCGCCGUAAGCUGCAGCACUACUUCCUCGGUCACCCCAUCACGGUGGUCCCGUCUUUCCCCCUGGGCGAGAUAAUCCAGAGUAAGGAGGCCACGGGAAGAAUAGCUAAAUGGUCGGUCGAGCUCAUGAGUGAGACUCUCACUUAUGCGCCUCGCAAGGCCAUCAAAUCGCCAGCUCUGGUGGACUUCGUCGCGGAAUGGACAGACUCCCAGCUUCCCCCGACCCAGGUCCAGGCGGAGCUGUGGAUGAUGUAUUUCGACGGGUCACUCUUGAAAACAGGGGCCGGGGCCGGCCUGCUGUUCAUCUCGCCCUUGGGCAUCCAUAUGAGAUACGUCAUCAGGAUUCACUUUGCCGCAUCUAACAAUGUCGCAGAGUACGAGGCCCACGUCAACGGUCUCAAGAUCGCCAUCGAGCUAGGAGUCCGACGCCUCGACGUCCGAGGCGACUCCCAACUCGUCAUUGACCAAGUGAUGAAGACUUCAAGCUGCCAUGACCUGAAAAUGGAGGCGUACUGCAAAGAAGUCCGUCGACUCGAGGACAAAUUCCAUGGCUUUGAGCUCGUCCAUGUCGCCCGACGCUACAACGAGGCAGCCGACGAACUCGCCAAGAUCGCGUCGACCCAAGGCACGGUGCCACCUGACGCGUUCUCGAGAGAUCUUCACGAGCCAUCCGUCGACUUGGGCUUGGGGGCUGGCGUCGAUGCCGAUCCUGCCCAGCCAACCGACAUCGUCGACGCACUGUUAAUGUCAGCUGAGGCGAUGGAGGUAGAACAGCGGCCCGGUCGACCGUUCGACUGGCGCACACCAUUACUCGACUGCCUAAUCCGCUGCGAGCUGCCAGAAGAUCGAUCUGAGGCCCGCCAUAUCGCUCGAAGAGCCAAGUCAUACGUGAUUUAUGGCGAAGACAAUGAGCUAUAUCGAUGAAGCCCGACGGGGAUUUUGCAGCGUUGCAUCACCGUGGAAGAAGGCCGGAAACUCCUCGAGGAUCUGCACUCGGGGGCUUGUGGCCACCAUGCUACUCCACGGACCCUUAUAGGGAACGCCUUCCGACAAGGCUUCUACUGGCCAACGGCCGAAGCAGAUGCCGUCAAGCUCGUACGCUCAUGUGAUGGUUGCCAGUUCUACGCCAAACAGACGCAUCUGCCCGCCCACGCUCUUCAGAUGAUCCCCAUCACAUGGCCAUUUGCGGUGUGGGGGCUCGACUUAGUAGGGCCCCUACAAAAGGCGAAAGGCUGGUACACCCACUUGCUGGUGGCCACCGACAAAUUCUCCAAAUGGAUCGAGGCUCGACCCAUCACCAACAUCCGCUCCGAGUAGGCCGUCCUUUUCUUCACCGACAUCAUCCACCGGUUUGGGAUUCCCAACGUCAUCAUCACCGAUAACGGCACUUAGUUCACCGGCAAAAAGUUCUUGAACUUCUACGAUCAGCAUCACAUCCGUGUGAACUGGUCUGCAGUAGCCCACCCUCGAACUAACGGCCAGGUCGAGCGUGCCAACGGCAUGAUUUUGCAAGGACUCCAGCCAAGGAUCUACAAUCGCUUGAAGAAAUUCGGCAAGAAGUGGGUCGAGGAGCUUUCAUCGGUCCUAUGGAGCCUGAGGACAACGCCAAGCAGGGCCAUAAAAUACACCCCAUUCUUCAUGGUCUACGGCUCAGAGGCUUUCCUCCCCACAGACCUCGAGUAUGGGUCUCCUCGACUCAAAGCAUACAACGAGUAAUCAAAUAUGGAAACUCAAGAAAACGCGGUCGACCAACUUGAGGAGGCUCGAGACAUGGCCCUCCUCAACUCUGCCAGAUAUCAGUAGAAACUUUGACGCUACCACGACAAGCACGUGCGCAAGAGGGACUUAAACGUGGGCGACCUUGUCCUACGACGGCGGCAAAGCAAUCAAGGACGCCACAAGCUGACUCCACCUUGGGAGGGCCCGUACGUGGUAGCCGAGGUCUUGAAGCCAGGGACGUACAAGCUCGCGGACGAAAAGGGGGCGAUCUUCACCAACGCGUGGAACAUCGAACAGCUACGUCGAUUCUACCCCUAGAAGUUCAAAACUUUAUGUCCCUAUGUACAUUCUGUACCAAGGCCUUGUAAAUGAAUAAAUAAAGCCUUUCCCUCAAGCGAUUUACUUUCUCACAAAUCUCGAUGCCAGAAGGGAGUACCAACUAUGACCCAUCAUAGUCAAUACCCCCUCGGGGGCUACCAGGGGGGCAACCCCCCCCCCAAGUGUCGAAAAAACCAAGAAAUUCUCUCUUCCUUACUUAGUAAACCUUGCACGUUCGAGUAGUUGAGGCGCCUCGAGCCCCUUAAGGGCCGAGGGACAACGAGUCUGAGAACUCCUACGCCCCCGGGCUAUGGAAACUCUACACACUUCCUCACCCUCGAGGUGACCGAGGCUGUUUUUAACAAAAGAUCGAACAAGGAAUACAAACGUAGGCGCAAAGGGAAAUAAAAGAACCUCGAGCGGAAAGAUAGAUAAACAUUUAACAGUCACAAAAAGACAUUGUACCACUUAUAGAGAAGUUAAUAGAGUAUUAUACAAGGGGCCCUAGGCACCCUAAGCAGGCUCGCAGGCCUCAGUCUUCAGCACGAUCCUCACCACCCUCGCCUACGCCCGAGCUAGUCUCAGGAGGAAGCACCUCAGGCUCAAAUAGCUUGGCCAGCCUCUCUCCAGGAGCCUCCGCGUCGUCGAUCAAGGCGUGGAGCCUCUCUUCGUUCUCCGCGUCGGUCUUAGAGAUGUCGGUGACGAAGCCGUGGGACACCACCUCCAUGUCGUAGGAGAAGACCGAGCAGACAACCGCCAUCGCCCGCUUCACCCCGAUGUGGAGGGCAUCCCGCACCCGAUCUCUCAGCGUCGCGCCUAGGUAGCACAGCUGGUCGACCAGUGCGUCGCCUCGAGCGUCCUCCUUCGACUCGUCCAUAGGCUCGACCUCCCAAGAGGUCGAGAGGUCGUUUAUCGCCGUCCGCACUCGACGGUUCAAAGCAAUCUCCGCCUCAAGCUGGGCCUUAGCACUACGGGCCUCGACUUGGGCGGCCAAGAGUUCGUCCUUAAGCCCUAUAAAUGCCAAUACAAGAAGCUUUAGAAAAAACCAAGCACACCUCGAAAAAGAAAUCCGACAAAGGAAACGUACCGCGGACAUUCUCCUCCAGGGCCGUGUUCUCGCCGAUUAGUCUGGUGUUGGCCCUCUCGAUCUCUUUGUUGGAGCGGGCCAGCUCAGUGUUGGCAACGCGGAGAUCCUCGAUCGCCUGGCCAGCCUGAGCAAUGGCCCCACUCUUCUCCAACAGCUCUCCCUUCAGACGUUCGACGUUGUCAGAGAGACUGCGGGAUCGAGCCCGCUCCGCCUCGAGGUCUUCGAGGGCCUUCUUCUUUGCGUCCUCGACGACACCUCUAGCGACCUCACUGUCCACAUACGCCACCUUCAUCUUCUGGAAGGAGUCUCGGAGGGAGUCCAGGUCGGUCUUGAGAAGGCCCUUCUCCUUGUCCAGGUCUGCAAUGACGCUCUUGUAGGACAGGGCCUCCUCCCGGGCUUUGGAUGCGGCCUCCUCGACCGUCAGAGCUCGCUCCCGCAGCAGCGUCAUCUCCUCCUCUGCCUUCUUUGAGGCCUCUUGAGCCUCGACCAGGGCAGCCUCCCUUGCCUUCUUCUCCUCCUCGAGCGCUAUGAGGUCUUUGUAGGCCUUAAGGAGCUUUUCUUGCGACUCGAGGAGUUGGUCCUAGAGGACGGGGAGCUGCUCCCAGCCUCCUCUUGUGGCGUGAAUGAAGCUAGACUUGAUACGGGAGGUCUCUUUCAUGUCCUACGAGCCGGGGGUCGAACGGUUAGAACACGAAACCAAAGGAUCUAUGAGAAUUAAGGACCAAAAAAUACUUACAAAGUAGGCCGGCCCGAGCCCGUUGUUGAUGACGUCCGAUAGGAGCCCCACCACGUGCUUCAUCCAAAGGCGGAGCUCCUCAACGUGUUCCCAUUUCGCCGCCUCCUUCCUGUCGUCCAGGAAGAUGUUGGGCUCGGACGGAUCGGUGGAAGCCCGGAUGCGGAUCCGAUCGGGGCACCAGUUCUCCAUCUCCUGGUCAGCCCGCGCCUUGACGCCGCGGAUAAGGUCCUCGACGGUCUCGAGGGAGCCCCCAUGGCGCAAGAACAGGUCGACGAGGCAUGGGAACCGUCCGUCGUCAUCCACCGUCUUCCAGGUACCGUCCUUACUCCCCGACGUCCCGAUCUCGUCCUCCUCAGAGGGAAAACGGUCCUCCCACGCCCGACGCUCUCGGAGGAACCCUGGGGCGAUCCCAUCCAUGCCGUAGAUCGUCUUCCUGAUCUCGGACUCGGGGUCGGCGGGGGUGCGCAUCAUGCAGGCAAGUGCCACCACACUGUCCGCUCGCCCCGGCUCUGCCCGGAUCGCGGUGGGCGCCCCCGGAAGGAGCCACGCUGGGGUUGGAGGGCCGUACACCGGCAAAUCCUCUUCCUGUUCUCCGGGCUCUUGCGGCGCCGGUGGUACUGGUUGGGGCAGACCUUGAGGCAGGGGCUCGAGCGGUCCUUCUUCUUGGCCCCCCUAAUGCUGUUGCUGCCCCUCGAGCAUUUGCUGCUGUUGCUCCACCUGCUGCUGCUGCUGCUGCUCCUGCUGCUGCUGCUGUUGCUGCUCCUGCUGCUGCUGCUGUUGUUGCCCCGCGUGUUCCUACGACUCUUGUCAGCGGCCCUGCUCCUGCGGCUGCCGCCUCGCCUCGCGCUCCCGCUCCUCCUCCUCCUCCUUCUUCCUCUGCUCCUCGAGGGUGCGGAGACCAGCAGGCCAGGGCGUCCGUUCCACGACAAAGGAGGUCGACGCCUCCUCAUCCAUAGGGCGGGCAUCCCUCGACGUCUCGUUGCCGCCAGACGUGUCGCAGAUGGUGAUGGGAUCCCCCUCGACCCCCGAUCGGGGAGGCUCGGGGGCUCCCUCUUGCCCCUGGGUCUGGGCCACCUCGACCCGUGUCGGCGGCGACGGGGCAAGCUCGAGACGAGGCGGGGCGCUCUCAGCGACGGCCGAAGGCUGAGAGUCGGAGGAGCCUAUAAAGCCAAGAAUAAAGGUCGGUCAUUGUAAUGACCAACGUAAGAACAUCACAAGUCCCAGAGGUAAGUCACAAACCUGGCUCCUUGGAGGCUGCUCCCAUUUUGAGCCUCUUCGCCAUUGAAGGCUGAGCCUACUCGAGCGUCCACUUUAAUCUGAAACAAAAGGAACAAGCGUAAAAAGACCGGCAUACAAGAAAACACAGAGGAACAGGAGAACAAAAGUCACAACGUCGAAGAGCUUACCCCACGGGGAGAACAGCUCGCCUGCCGGUGCCCCGACCGGUGGGCCUCGAGCCACCCCGUGUCAAGGUCCCAGACCCCUCGAGGACAGGCGUUGGCCUUGGCCCAGCAACUUCCCCUUGGUGGGCACCGGGACUGGUGCUCCUGCGGCCAGUGUCUCCUUUCUCGGAGGCCGCGGCACGACCGCGAGUCAGUGGCCCCGUCGCCUGAGGCCUAGCAUGGCCACCCAUCUUGGGCGCUGGGGGAGGGCGCGGGGCAACCUGACCAGUCGCGGGCACCGGGGGGGUGUCGGCACGAGGGCGGUGAGUUCCGCCUGGUCCCUCUUUUGGUGUCCCCAUCCGCGGGGCGUCGACGUCACCUCGAGGCGGACCCUCGAGGAUGCGGUCGAGGCGAGACGCCAUCCCCUCGGAGUCAUCGCUGUCCUCAUCAUCAUCUCCACCAUCAUCGUCGUUGGGGGACUCUUCCUCAGGCUCCCCCCUCUGCCUGAAUUUAGACUGACGUGCCUCUAAUGCUUGGCGAUCGAGGUUUUUCUUUUUCUCCCCUUUCUUCUUAGAGUCCUUGGCGGACUUUAACUUCUCGGCGAACCGGCACCGCGCGUCGCGAUCAACCUCGUCCUCCUUCACUGGAGGCCUCGAGGACCGGACAUCAAUCCGUCCCUGCCAGAACAAAGGUGGAUUUAGGAAAAAGGGAAGAAAAGAAACCCAGAAUCAAGGCUGCGCACGAGAAGAAAGCAUACCAGAUCGAUCGAGCCUACAUCUGGCCUCAUGGGGAAGCCGUUAACAUGCUCUGGCUUGAUGUCACCAGCAAUGGCGGCCCUGACCCUGGCCGCGACUUCGUCGUUCGCCGGAGCCUCGCUUGACAUCCGGCAUGCCUCGAGGUCCCAAGAUGAGGCGCCAGGAGCCAUCUCGUCCAUCCUCAGCGGUCGAGACAUCAACGGGAGAACUCUCCGGUGAUGGACGGCCAAGAGAACGAGGGCGGCGGUAAAGCCCUCCGAGCGCAGUUUCUUCAUGACGUCGAGGAGGGGGUCGAGCCGAGAUUGAUGAACCUGGACGACGCCGUACGUCCAAUUUUCCGGACGCUCCGUGAUCAGACGCCCGGUGUAGGCGGGCAGGAGGUCGUCGUCAUUUCUCAAGUAGAACCACUAGGAAUCCCAGCGGGCGUGGUUGGUCGACAGUCCCACCGGGAUGUACUCGCGCGGCCUCUCCGUCUUCUCGGUCCUCAACACGAGGUUGAGGCAACCUGCCAGAACAGGCUUCCUCACGCUGGUGGUCCCAGUGGGGGCGUUGAAGAGCUCGCCCCUGUAGAGGUGGAGCCACAGCUCCCAGUGGGGCAUCAUCCCCAAAUAGCCCUCACACACCGCGGCGAAGACCGCGGCGACGGUGAUGGCGUUUGGGGAGAAGUGCUGGAGCUCCACCCCGUAGUGCUGGCAGAGCGCCCGCAUGAAGCGGCUCGGGGGAGCGCCCAAUCCAUGGCGGUGGAACUUGGCAAACGAAACCACAUAGCCCUUGGGCGGCCUGGGCUCCCUGUGGUCCGCCGGCGGCGCGAUCCACUCCGGCGACGACAGCGAGGUGCGGCGGCGCAGGAGUCCCUCCCUCUCAAGCUCUUGCAGCCGGCGCUCCGUCAUCGACGAUAGGCGCCAGUCAUCGGCGGCGACAAGCCUCAUAGGCAUUCUAGCCGGAAGGAUGGCGGAUCCGCUAUUACUCGAGGGGGGCACGCGCGCAUAGGAUGGCAAGGGAACUAAGGCAAUGAGAGGGCUAAGGCGAGAAUGAAGACGGGAGGCAGAAGGGAGAACAGCGGCGACGCCAGGACACAUUUAUAGGCAGCUGUCCACCAAUGGGCAGAUCCGAUAAAAGAGGUAGCUCCCCUCCGUAAAUGCGCCGUCUAAUGGUCCUUUCCCUCCUCUCAGGUGGAGCGCCCCGAAUUCCACGCCAACGCAGUGUCAUAACGUCUCCCACCUAAAAAGGCGCGCCCAACGGGCAAGAAGGCGAACUACCCACGGUCUUUUCCUUCCCUUGUAAGCCAAGGAGUGCACCCGUGGAAGCCUCGAGAGGUCGCAGGCUGGCCCACUGAAAGGGUUCGAUAGCCGAUCUCGAGCACCAGAGUCAGGGAUCCCUAGCGAGAGGUCGAAGAUCGAGGUCCGCCUCGAAGACUUACUGGGGAUGUCCAAGGUAGGGUCGAGACAGUUGAGAGGAAUGCCCCCGACGGGAGGCAUCGAGCCGCCGGACACUAUCGAAUGAGACCGGUAUCCCCGACCACGUCGACCCUGCUUUAUGAGAACGCCUCCGGGCUACAGCUGACCCCCUCGAAAGGGGCACAGGUUCUCACUUGGACUACCCGCUAGGAACUCAAUCUGGGGUGGAAGACGCUCGCUCUAUCGAGAGUACGUCAAAACCUCCGCGCAAAACGAGCCAAUCAGAACCUUCCACCACUGGUGUCGAUAGCGUUUCUGCGAAUUAGGCAAUAUAACCCUUGAAGGAGUCAAAAACUCCUCCAAGGGCUCGGGGGCUACCCCCGCGGGGUCGCUCGCGCGCCCCCAUGGAAAUUCGAUCGCAAAACAAAGCCUCCACUCGAGCGCCAGCGCUCAAAUGGAGACUCGGGGGCUACUGUCGAGGGUAUCAGUAAGGGGUACCCUCACCGAUGCACAUAACGAGACUACCCGUACGCAGGUCGAGGCCCUCAACUCGACGCUUUGGUCAUACAUAUGCGCGGUCGUCGACGACCGCAGCCUCGAAGACGGAAAUAGCGUCGAGCGAAUCGAUCAGGGGUCGAGCGCCAGCUACCGUCGAAUACGGAAAUGGGCUCGCGCGAACCAGGAGGCGUCGAGUGCAAGGACGCCGCCCGCCGCCUGACGCGCGCACGAGAGCCAAGGCAUUAAAUGCGCCUGUCGCUUUCCCGCCUAACACGCUGGUCACGGGAAGCGUGAUAGGGAACAGGCACCCGUCCCGUCGUUCUUUUUGCAGCCUUCUCCACCAAACGACCCAGAGCAUGUCAGGAUGCGGGAAGCAUGGAUGGAACGUCUAAUCAGGACCCCCUCGAGGCAGCCAAGGUCAGCGCUCUGGAUAUCAGGGCAUUGCACGGCAUCCGACCCUCGAUCAGACAUGGUUCCUUCUUGGAGACGAGUUGGGCGUCGACUGACAACAUCGCAACCACUCCGCCGGAUCUGCCGCCAUACCGUACAAGCGUGCGACCGGUGAACCAGCCCAAGACGGCGCGCAGAGCCGGAUACAGGGGCACGCGUAAUCAUCAUCGAGCUACCAAGAUGGGACGGCUCGAGACCACGCCGGUACGGAGGCCUCGAGUAGGUCAGCGCGCCAUGCUUCUAUCGACCCCUACUCUAACACCUAUACAUGUACCCUAGGUCUCUCCUUGGAGCUAUAAAAGGAAGGACCCGGGAUUAGAUAGACACACGCAACACUACACCCAUACGCAGUAGAACUCCCAUACUCCAUACCACGCUUGUAUUCGCCCCUGUACAAGCACUUAGGUGCAAGAUAAUACAAACUUCCCUCCCCCACUGGACGUAGGGCCUUCUCUUGCCCGAACCAGGAGAAGUCUCUGUGUCUUCUUGCAUCACCAUCUGGGAAAGGGAGCACGCAUACAAAUUUACUCGUUGGUGUGACCCCCCAUGGGGAAAACACCGACACAAUCUAACUAAGCCAAGUAUAUAACUAUGAUAAACUAAGAACAAUAUAAUCUUGAAUAUAAGCAAGUAGAGCAAAGUCAUAAGCAAUAUAUUGAAAUAGAACAAAAUCAUAUUCAUAAUAUUGAAGAACAAAGAAAAUUAGAAGAACAAUUAGAAGCACAAUUAGAGAAUUACCAAGAAUCCUCUUGACAGAUCCGGAAACCAAUCGAAGAUUAAGUCCUUCUAGUUCUAAUCCUAUGUAGCUAUGCUAAUCUAGAUGUCUAAUUGAUGUGGUGGCUCUAAUCUUGAUGAGAGGCUUCUUCUCCCUUGAAGAAUAAUGAAUUAGGGUUGAGAGGCUCUCUCCUCCAGGGGCCAGGGGGUCUGGUUUUAUAGUCCCUUCAAGUGAAUAUGGGCCGUUGGAUCAAACCGACAUUGAUUGAACGGUUAUCCUUGAUCCUUUAGGUCGGUGGAGAUCUCCCCCGAAACAGAGUCCUGAUUGGACUCCAAUAGAGGGCGGGUGCCCUGGUUACCUGGGCCGGCGCCCAGGUCCUGGCCCCAUUCGGCCUCCGCUUCCUUCCCGUGGCUUCUGGAGUCUUCUAGAUGUAAGAAAAUUGCACGGCACGUUGAUAUCUCUAUGUAACCCCGACGUGUGGGCCUUCCUUUCGUAUUUCCUAAUAACCCGCUGCAGAAAUAGACAAACACAAAAACUCGUAGAAUUCUGUCAGAUAAAACCCUAAGUCUAGAUGUCGAUUUCAUUUGGAUCCUUUUCUUUGUUUAUUUGAUAAUUAAAUUUGAUACUUAAGGACUGUCAACAAACUCCUCCAAGCUUACCUCUUGCUCGUCCCUGAGCAAGGAUAGACUCAGCUAUGAAAGUUGUUGUAAUGCCUUUAAAAAUUGACGGUACACAUGCUUUUAAAUGAUGUCUUAUCUCUGAGUUAGAGUAAACUGUCAAGACUUAAAACUUACUUACUUUACCUUUCACCAUGGCACUUGUAACCGUCACUUCCAUCUUGAGUUGUUAAAAGAUAUAACAGUCUAGUCAAGUGCCAUGUCUCUUAUUCUUGAUUAGCUAUAGCUCUGGAGUUUUUGCAGAUUUUCAAAUAAAACUCAGAGAUUCCUUGUAUGAUUCUCUUAAAUCUCUCUUUUGUCGUAUUUCUGGAUCCUUACCAAGGCAGUGAUGGUAUAUGCAUUCUCUCAAUAUAUAUGGUAUUUAUGGUAUAAAGCAUAUUGCCUUCUCUCUCACCCUACUCUAAUAUGGCUUUAAUAUCUGGAGCUCAUAGGUGGGAGAUAAAGUAUACAUACUUACAAGACAUUUAUUGCAUAGUCAAACCAUGGAUCCAAAGAAACAAAUCAAUAAGUCAAAUCAAGAUGUGCAUGUGUGGCGAAUGAAUGGUGUAUGGUGAUGAUGGUGUUAACAAUGGUGGAAGUCUAAUUCUUUUGCUCUUUGAGGGGAUACAUACCUUCCUUGCUUUUUGAAACUUUAUGAGGAGAAUGAGAUGCUCUUCUUUUUCUUUUCUCUCAGGUGGGUAUCUUGUACCCCUAAUUCUACUAUCGGACACUUGUCCAUUUUUACCUCUCGUCUCACUUUUUCUUUUCUUUCGAGGUUCCGGGCACUUGCCCCUUUUUAUUUCCUUGUAUCUUUUUUUUCUCUUUUUUUAGAGCACUCAUCUCUUGAGAUAAUAUAGCAAGUGGUAGUAACAAGAUAACUUGAGCAUUUAUUUCACAGGGAAAAACAGAAAUGUUUUUGGCUAUUCUCUCCCGGAUUAGGAGUAGAAUAUUUUUAGGUGGUUCUAGAGAUGGAAAUGGGUGGAUAUAUGUGGACGGUACUUCCGGAGUAGAAGCAGCAUAUGUGAGUGAACGUGCAAGUGAAAUCUUGAUUUAACCACAUGACAAGCUCCUAAGGGUCUACACAGCUUGACCACACUCAAUGCUCAUAAGCAGUAAAAAGUAAAUGUUGUGGCUCAAAGUCUAGCAAGCAUGUAUAUAUAGCUGUGGUAGGAAUUUAAACUCUCAUCAUACAGGAACUCAUCAUGCAACAUUUUAAAGAUUUUCAAAGAUAAAAUUCUCCAGAAUUCUAGCAUCUCUAGGAACAGAUAAACAGCAGCUCAACCUUCCCAUAUCAUAUCCGUUAACAACUUAGACUUCAGAUCAAGUUUUCAUCCCAUAAGUUUAGGUCUAGAGCAAGCUUUAAAUUAUAACAGUUAUGUCUAAACUAGUGAGAGAACUUCAAAUGUGCAAAUUAGGAAGAGCAACUAUUCAUCAUAUCCAUGCUAGAGUUUUAUUCAGAUACAGAUUAGCAUAGCCACUUUAUUUAUUUAUUAAACACACUAAGCAAAAGAUAUAUAUAUAUAAGUAUAAAAUCUUUAUUUGGUUUUUCAUAGUUAUAUUUUAAUAUAGUAUAAGUAUAAAGAUAGAUAGAUAGAAAUACUUAUCGGGAUAAAUGGGGGUGCUCUCCCCCAAGCUGAAUUUUGACGUAAUUUCUCUUGAUGUAGCUAGCAGGUGGCAGAGGUGUAUUUGAAAGUCAGCAGCAUUCUGACAGCGAUUAGAAUAUCCUCCGUCUGCUAGUCUUCUUGAUUCUUAAAAUUCUGUGGAGCUCAAAUAGACAACAAAGCUUGUGGAACUGAUUAAGUGUUAGCAAAAAUAUCUAUCCUUUAUCAUGUUGAGACUCCUCAAUAACUAUUACUCCCUAUUUUUAUAUUUUCAUUUUUAUAGAGCUGAAAAAUAUUUAUUUUAUUUUUAUGCCACCAUAGUGAAUGUACUUAUGGGUUUUAUGCCACUCGUCUACUCACAUGGGGCUUACUGUUUUUCAACAUUUUUAUUUUCUUUUUAGGAUAGUAUAAAUAUAACUAAUUAAGUAAACUAUUUUAAAUAAUUGAAAGGGAAAGGAUAACUACCAAGUUUACCUCUUGGCAAGGCGUUCGGUAUUUUUAAGUCCUCCGAACGGGACUCUUCUCUUUCUCCAUUGUCCUAAGAUUCGUUGGGUGGCGUAGUCGGUACUUCCGGCGGCGCCUCCUCUUCAUGUAUAGUUGUCUUCUCUUUCCAUACCUGACUCGGUGCUACGGUCUCCUUUGGAUAAUUCUGUUUAAACUAUACGUCUUCUAACCUUACAACUUCUCCAUCAUAGUCUGCCCAUCCGUCCUUGAUGAUUUGCCUCCUCUGGUUGCGGUUGCGUCGUUUUCUUACCUGCUUAGAUUCUUCAAAGAUAUAUUUAGGGUCAGUAAAAUAACGGCGUACCUUCUCUAAGGGGAAGUGCAUAUGGACUUCUCCAGUUUUAAUGUAGAUGAUUGCUUUAACGUUGCUGAGGAAUGGUCUUCCAAGGAUGAUGGGUGGAUCGUACUCAUCUUCUCCCAUGUCAAUAACCUAAAAGUCUGUGUAGACAAAAUGAUCGUCUAUUUUGACUGGGACAUCAGUUACUGUUCCUUUAACUUCUCGAAAUGUCUGAUCUGCCAUCUGGAGCUGAGUGUAUGUUGGUCUUAGGGGCAUGGUUCCGAACAAGAGACGAUAGGUGACUGCGGCCAUUAUGUUGACGCCUGAUCCGGUGUCGCAAAACGUCUUGUAGAAGUUGUAUCCAUUUAUGGAGCAAUAGAUGCUUGGCAUUCCUGGGUCAUCCUUCUUGGUCAAAAACGGUGACUUAAGUUGGUGAUCUUGGCCUCCAUGAACUACAGUGAUCAUCUUAGCUGACUCGGUCCACACUUGCUUGUUCCUGUUCCUCCUGUUGGUCCUCUUCCUUGAUUCACGACUGGAUUGAUCUAGGAUUUGUGUAGUCUUGUUCCUGAAGAAAAACGUCUCCUUCCUCCCUUUGAAGUAGAAACUGAUCUUGGCAGCACUAGCGUAGAUGAUAGCUCCCGAGGUGUUCAAGAAUGACCUCCCUAAAUGAUGGGUGCCCUCUCAUCAUUACCGGUCUCUAUCACCACGAAGUCUGCUGGGGCAUAUAAGGUACCAACUCGGACACAAAGGUUCUUCAAUAUUCCUUUUGGAAAACUUAAUGCCUGAUCUGCAAACUGCAAACACAUGGUUGUCUCUAAUAAAGGAUAUGUAAAGAAUUUUUCAUAGAGUACCCUGGGUAUAAUGUUGACGCUAGAGCCAAAGUCGCAGAGUGCUUCUGGGACGUUCACCAUGCCGAUGGAGAUCGGGAAGACGGGCGUCCUGGAUCACCUCUCUUGACUGGCAGAAGGUCAGUAGUGAAUUCAGUGAUGGGGUUACUCCAGUUAUUACCUGCAUCAAACAUGUCUACAAGAUUUGCAGAUUCUAAUCCUUCCGGUUGUGAUGGUAUACCGGGGUUAGUAGCAGGAACAGCAGCAGAUAUUUGAUUUAACUGAGAUUCAAUCAUUUUAUUAAAGCUAAUUUGAUUCUUGAUGGAAGUAGAGAAAUUAUCCAUUCUAUUAUUUAUAUUUUCUAGCAUUUUAUCAUUAUAUGCCAAUUUCUUAGAUAGGUUAUCCAUUAGUUUUCCUUGAUUAGACACUAACUCUCUCAGAGGUGGAAAAUUAUUAUUAUUACUGUAAGAAUUGUUACCUUGAUAAUUACCUGAGUAGUUAGGCCUCUGUUGAUUCCAACCUUGAUUUUGUUGAGGACGGUUGUAAUAGUUGUUGUUGUUAUUAUUGAUGUAGUUCACACCCUCAAGCAUCUCAGGACAGUGAUUGCCUGAGUGUCCAGUAUCUCCACACUCCUCACAAGUCAUGUGAGAGUCGUAGAUGUGCAUAACUUCUUUCUUAUCUCCAGCUCUAUCGUCGAGCUUCUUCAUGAGCAGGUCUAGCUUUGCAGACAGCAUGUCUACCUCCUUGAGCUGAUGCAUACCUCCACCUCUCUUGCGUGUCUAGGUCCUUUCUUCAUUCUAGCCUUGGUUGGACGCCAUCUUUUCCACAAGAGCUGUGGCUUGUGGUAUAGUAAGUGAUAAGAAUGCUCCUCCGGCUGCAGCAUCCAUGGUCUCUCGGGCACUGUUGCCGAGCCCAUGAUAAAACAUCUGCAUCAAUAGCCAACUCUCCAUUCCAUGAUGGGGACAUUCUAGGAUGUAGUCUUGAAAGCGCUCCCAUGCUUCUGGAACGGAUUCAUCAUUUUAUUGCUGAAAACUUGUAAUCUUCCCACGGAGAGCAUUGGUCUUGCCCAUGGGAAAGAACUUAGCCAGGAAGUUUGUUGAGCAGAGUGCCCACGUAGUAUUCUUCUCCUUUGUAGCGUAGAACCACAGCUUCGCUCUUCCUAACAGUGAGAAUGGGAAGAGGCGAAGUAGUAUAGCAUCUCUGGGGACUCCUGAUAUGGUAAAUGUAUUGCAAAUCUCCAGGAAGUGUUGUAGAUGAGCACUAGCAUCUUCGUGUGCCUUUCCACAGAACUGGUUGGAUUGCACCAUGUUGAUAAGUCCAGGCUUGAGCUCAAAGUUGCCAUCGAUCUCUGCAGCAGGUCCAGUGCGGAUGUUGUCCGUAGUGGGAGCUGAGAACUCGCAGAUUGAUUUGUUCGCCAUGGCUUCGAACUCUGAAGACAAGUUUCGGUGAUCUUCUUGAUUGGAUGAAGCUUCUUGCUGAAGUGUUGAUGAUCUCUUCUUGAGCUUGGCUCUAGUUCUUUUGAAUAACGCUUCGGGAUUGUCAACAAAAUUUCCUAGAAGAUGUCUUCUAUUCAUACAUUCCCCUGCAUAAGAUAAAAUAGAAAAUAUCAGGGUAAAACUGUAUGAGAGAAUAGAUAAGCUCAAUCAUAUUAGUGAUGCGAAUGAUAACUCAAAAUCUAUAUCCAUUCCUGAUUAGUAAUCAACCUUCCCCGGCAACGGCGCUAAAAAUGUUUGGUGGGUAUUCUUAACAUCACUACCAAAAGUAGACAACUUUCUAAUUCUAGUAAUGGUGCAAAAAAUGCCAAACCUAUCCCUCAUACCACUUAAGACAAGUUGUCAUCCCCAGCAUGACAUGAGAGACGCGGAAUUGAAAUAUGCAAUUGCUCUUCUAAAUAAAUAAUGAAUGGGAUCUGCAAGCGCACAGAUUAAUGCCGAUGUAGCAUUUUAACCGGGAAGUAUUCAAGGUAUCAUUAUUUAUAUUUUUACCACUGGGAAGGGAUUAACAAUCAUCAAUAUUGAUUACAGAAUAGAAUAUGAGAUUGAGUAUCUAUCAUUGCAUGUAUAAUUGAGAACAUUGUAUCUAAUUCUUUCAUACAAGGGUAAGUGUCACAUAAAAGAUAUAUGAAAUAAUGAAUAGUGACAAAGGUAAUUAGUCUGAUCAUAACUUAGCCACAUAUAAAUAUGAUAAGCACCUCAAUUAGAUACUCUAGAAAGUCAUUAGCAUGGUAUUAGAACGAACUACAAGAAUAUUUCCUAAGUUAUUCUCAACUAUAUAGUCUAGCAUUAUCAUAGUUAGUGCAAGCAUACUUAGCAAUCAUUGUGAGACAAGACUACGCCCAUGCAUAGUGAUAUUAGCAAGGUAAAUGAGAAACAUAGCAAUCUCUACCCUGUAAUAAUGUUGCUCUGCCAGCCCACGAUCUGGCAUAUUGGGUACAAUACAUGAGAGGGAGACUAUAUAAGAAUCAAUGAAGCUGUCACUAUCACGAACUACCCCACGAUCUGGCAUAUUGGGUACAAUCGCAGAUAAAUACGGUAUAAGCACCACGCCUACACAAUAUCUAUCAUUUACCCAUGGAUCCGAUGGAUAAACACUAUACGAUCCUAAACAUGUAUAUAGAUCCAAUCUAACUAAGCCAAGUAUAUAACUAUGAUAAACUAAGAACAAUAUAAUCUUGAAUAUAAGCAAGUAGAGCAAAGUCAUAAGCAAUAUAUUGAAAUAGGACAAAGUCAUAUUCAUAAUAUUGAAGAACAAAGAUAAUUAGAAGAACAAUUAGAAGCACAAUUAGAGAAUUACCAAGAAUCCUCUUGACAGAUCCGGAAACCAAUCGAAGAUUGACUCCUAGUUCUAAUCCUAUGUAGCUAUGCUAAUCUAGAUGUCUAAUUGAUGUGGUGGCUCUAAUCUUGAUCAGAGGCUUCUUCUCCCUUGAAGAACAAUGAAUUAGGGUUGAGAGGCUCUCUCCUCCCGGGGCCAGGGGGUCUGGUUUUAUAGUCCCUUCAAGUGAAUAUGGGCCGUUGGAUCAAACCGACAUUGAUUGAACGGUUAUCCUUGAUCCUUUAGGUCGGUGGAGAUCUCCCCCAAAACAGAGUCUUGAUUGGACUCCAACAGAGGGCGGGCGCCCUGGUUACCUGGGCGGGCACCCAGGUCCUGGCCCCGUUCGGCCUUCGCUUCCUUCCCGUGGCUUCUAGAGUCUUCUAGAUGUAAGAUAAUUGCUCGGCACGUUGAUAUCUCUAUGUAAUCCCGACGUGUGGGACUUUCUUUCGUAUUUCCUGAUAACCCCCUGCAGAAAUAGACAAACACCAAAACUCGUGGAAUUCUGUCCGAUAAAACCCUAAGUCUAGAUGUCGAUUUCAUUUGGAUCCUUUUCUUUGUUUAUUUGAUAAUUAAAUUUGAUACUUAAGGACCGUCAACACAAGCUUAGAGUCUUAAAAUAAGCACUGAUCAGAUUGUAACAUGAGCUUUUAAUUAUUUGCAAUAUUACCUGGUGUAUUGUGCAUAUAAGGAUAAUUGUAAAAAUAUUCCUUCGGGUAUUCUUGUCACUAACCUUUCCAGGAUUGGAGCAAGAAGAUCAGAUGAAUGACAAGCACAAGGUAUGUCCAACCAAUCAUCAUGCAACACUGAAUUAAAUUCAUCCAAACUUGAAAUUUUGCAAAAUUCAAGUUUGGGGCAGUACCUUACAUAAAAAAAACAUCCUUUGUCAUGUUGCUAUGUUGGUUGUCCCUACCUUUGAGACAUGCUCAAUUUGUUAAACGCUAAUCAUUCUAUUUUCAUCUCCACUUGAGUAAGAUCUCUAUAAUGCUGUUAUGCUACCUUUAUCUAUUCGCAAGUAAGUGUUGGUUUGAAAGUACUCGACAUACUUCCAUUCGCAUUUAAAUUAAGCGUGGUGCUUAGGUUAAAUAGCCUUCCUUAAUCUGAUUAGACAUGGAGUCUAGUUUGGUUACUGAACUAAAAACUGCCUGAGUAGACAUUGGUAUAUUUUGUUGGACUAACCCCUGCAGGAAAACUGUCAAUAUCAACCUAGGAAGUCCUUAGAUAAACUCACACUGGAGACAAAGAGAGAGACACAUCAAGUUUAACAAUUUACACAAGGAGGACGUAGCUCAUAAGAGAUGAUCCCUGGAGGGUGCCACAAACACGAUGCACAACCGCUAAUAAAGGAAAGCUUCCACAAGGUGAUACUAUACCAUCACUCUUCAAGUAAGGUAACAUCUUAAAGUACUUGAUUAUCACUUUUAUAAGCUUUUCCUUGGUUCUAGCUUUCACAUAAAUAAAGAGACAAACAGGUAUGAUUUAUAACUCCAAAUUAACCAACCCAACUGAUUCAACUUGUUUAGUCCUUUAAUCUUUGUUCCUAGUACUACCUCCAAGAUCCCACACUCCUAAUCAUAUGAGCUAAAAUAUUACACAUUCAAUCUUUGAGAGAUAUAAAGAAAAAGACAUAUACAUAGAUAGAUUAUCUUUCUAUAAGGUUGAAGGGAUCUGAUCUGACAAAUGUUAUAAGUGCUACACUCAUGAACUUAUCAUCCAUCAACUUUGUCUUGCUCACUAUGCUUAAGGUUAGAGAAGAACAAAUACACUUUUGGUUUUGUUAGUGUUUUCCACCAACAGGGCCCAUGCACUUGAUCUCUGCCUUGUCUCUAUGAGCAGGUACACUUCAAGCAAAACAUGGAGGUGUUUUAUAACUCUCAGACUCUACCAAGUGAAGGACCAGGAUCUAUGAGCAUAAACACACUGAAUAGGAUACUGCCAACGCCGCACUUCGAACUACUGGGCAAAUGAAGAACAUGGGUGACACCGUAUCAAGAGGUGCAGACGCCAAGGUCCUCACCUGAAUCAAAUGACGCACCUAAAGAAUGAACACGGUGAGAAGUCUUGUCUAGAAGACUUAAAACAUUGGAUCCUUACCGGAAGAUAAAAUCGGUAUUUAUCCAUAUUUAUCUUUUCUGCAUUCCUUUUCCUUUUUAUUCCAUCACUUGCAUUAGCAUAUUUACCUUUCCACAUUAGCAUUAGAAAAGAAAACAAAAAAAAUUUUGUUCAUUGCACUGCAUCAUAAAAUCUAAAGCAUAGAUUUGUGGUUUAAAACCCAUAGGUAUAUUGACUGCGGUGGCAUAAAAUAAAUAUAUUUUCAUCUUACAAUACAAAUAUAAAAAUAAUAAGUGCACGAUCCUGCUAAAUAAAUAAAAUUUAUUAGGAGGAAUCUCAAUAUGAUAAAGGCUAAGAGAUAUUAUGCUAACACUUAACCAGUUCCACAAAGCUUUGUUGUCUAUUUGAGCUCCACAGAAUUUAAGGAUCAAAGAAGACUAGCAGAUGGAGGACAUCCUAAUUGCUGUCAGGGUACUGCCGACAUUCAAAUACACCUCCGCCACCUGCUAGCUACAUCAAAAGAAAUUACGUCAAAAUCCAGCUUAGGGGAGAGCACCCCCAUUUAUCCAGCUAAGUGUUUCUACUCGUGUUUAUACUUUACUCAAAUAAUAAAAAGAUGCAAAAUCAUAAAAAUCCAAAUAAAGAUUUUUGUGCUUAUAUAUAUAUCUUUGCUUAGUUUGCUAAAUAAAUAAAUAAAGUUUGCUAUGAACCCUCAUGAUAAGCUAUCACAUGGAAAUGAUGAAUAGUUGCUCUGCCAUGACUAGUUCUCAAAAUUGAAAUCUCUCUCAAGUUUAGGCAUGACUGUUAUGAAUUAAGAUUUGCUCUAAACCUGAACUUGUGGGAAGAGUACUUGAUCUAAAGACUAAGUCGUUAACGGAUAUAAUAUGGGAAGGUUGAGCUGUUGUUUAUCUGUUCUUAGAAAUGCUAGAAUUCUCGAGAAUUUUAUCUUUGAAAAUCUUUAAAAUGUUGCAUGAUGAGUUCCUGUAUGAUGAGAGUUUAAAAUCCUACCACAGCCACAUGUACAUGAUUAUUAGACUAUGAACCAUACAUUUACUUUUUACUGCUUAUGAGCAUUGAGUGUGGUCAAGCUGUGUAGACCCUUAGUAGCUUGUCAUGCGGUUAAAAUCAAGAUUCACUUGCACGUUCACUCAUACAUGUUGCUUCUACUCCGGAAGUACGCAUCCACAUACAUCCACUCAUUUCCAUCUCCAGAUGCACCCAAAGUUAUUCUACUCCUAUCUAGGAUAGAAUAGCCAAAAACAUUAUCCUAUCCCUAUUAUUCCCCGUGAAAUAAAUGCUCGAGAUAUUUUGGUUACUACCACUUGCUACAUUAUUCUAAGAGGGUGAGUGCUCUGAAAAAAAAGAAGAAAAAUACGAGAAAAUAAAAAGGGGCAAGUGCCCGGAACCUCGAAGAAAAGAAAAAGUGAGACAAGAGGUAAAAAUGGACAAGUGUCCGACAGUAGAAUUAGGGGUACAAGAUACCCACCUGAGAGGAAACAAAAAAAUAAUAUAGAGCAUCUCAUUCUUCUCAAAAAUCUUCAAAGUGCAAGAAAGGUAUGUAUCCCCUCAAAAGAGCAAAAGUAGAAUUAGACUUCCACCAUUGUUACCACCAUACACCAUUCAUUCGCCACACAUGCACAUCUUGAUUUGACUUAUUGACUUGUUUCUCUGGAUCCAUGGUUUGACUAUGCAAUAAAUGUCUUGUAAGUAUGUAUUAGCUGUCUCCCACCUAUGAGCUCCAGAUAUCAAAACCUUGUUAGAGUAGGGUGAGAGAGAAGGCAAUAUCAUUAUGCCUCAUACCACAAAUACCACAUACUUUGAGAGAAGGCAUAUAUCAUCACUGCCUUGGUAAGGAUCCACAAAUACUACAAAAGAGAGACUAGAGAGAGUCAUACAAGGAAUCUCUGAGUUUUAUUUGAAAAUCUGCAAAAACUCCAGAGCUAUAGUUGAUCAAAGAACAAGGGACAUGGUGCUUGACUUGACCGUUCUAUCUUUUAACUACUCAAGACACAAGUGACGGUUGCAAGCUCCAUGGUGAAAGGUAAUAUGAGUAAAUUUUAAAUCUUAACAAUUUACCCUAACCUAGAGAUGAGAUCUUGUUUAAACGCAUGUGUACCUUUAAGGCAUAAAACCACUGUAGAAACUCUUGAGUCUAUCCUUCCUCUGGGACGAGCAAGAGGUAAGCUUGGGAGAGUUGUUGACGGUCCUUAAGUACCAAAUAUAAUCAGCAAAUAAACAAAGAAAAGGAUCCAAAUGCAACCAACACCCAGACUUAGGGUUUUAUCUGACAGAAUUCCACGAGUUUUGGUGUUUGUCUAUUUCUGCAGGGGGUUAUCAGGAAAUAUGAAGGAAAGGCCCACAUGUCGGGUUUACAUAGAGAUAUUAACGUGUCGCGCAAUUUUCUAUCAUCUAGAAGACUCCAGAAGCCACGGGAACGAACGGGAGGCCGAGCGGGCUCGGGGUUAGGGCGCCCGCCCUUCCCCCUUGGGCGCCCGCCCUACUACAGUAGCCAAUCACGUUCAACCUCGCAUAUUAUGCUCCACCGACCUAAAGGAUCAAGGAUAACCGUUCAAUCAAUGUCGGUUUGAUCCGACGGCCCAGAUUCACUUGAGGGGACUAUAUAAGCAGACCCCCUGGCCCCAGGAGGAGGCACCCCUUGAUCAUUAUUCAUUAUUCAUAGAUAGAGCAAAAGCUAGGGUCUGGAGAUGAGAGCUCUCCUCUCAUCUCUAAACUAGAGUAGGUCUAGAUAGUAGCGAAAUAGAGAGCGAGGGA
rnacentral:lncRNA from 1 species